GGGGAUGUAGCUCAGAUGGUAGAGCGCUCGCUAAGCAUGCGAGAAGUACGGGGAUCGAUACCCUGCAUCUCCA
rnacentral:tRNA from 1 species